rnacentral:rRNA from 1 species
UACAGAGGGUGCAAGCGUUGUUCGGAAUCAUUGGGCGUAAAGGGCGUGUAGGCGGUCUGUUAAGUCAUGUGUGAAAUCCCUCGGCUCAACCGGGGAACGACGCAUGAAACUGACAAGCUAGAGUACCAAAGAGGGGGGUGGAAUUCCCGGUGUAGCAGUGAAAUGCGUAGAGAUCGGGAGGAACAUCAGUUGCGAAGGCGGCUCUCUGGACCAGCACUGACACUGAGGCACGAAAGCGUGGGGAGCAAACAGG